rnacentral:rRNA from 1 species
AGCGAACGCUGGCGGCAGGCCUAACACAUGCAAGUCGAGAGCCCCGCAAGGGGAGCGGCAGACGGGAGAGUAACACGUGGGAACGUGCCCUUUGGUUCGGAACAACCCAGGGAAACUUGGGCUAAUACCGGGUAAGCCCUAACGGGGACAGAUUUAUCGCCGAAGGAUCGGCCCGCGUCUGAUUAGCUAGUUGGUGGGGUAAUGGCCCACCAAGGCGACGAUCAGUAGCUGGUCUGAGAGGAUGAUCAGCCUCACUGGGACUGAGACACGGCACAGACUCCUACGGGAGGCAGCAGUGGGGAAUAUUGGACAAUGGGCGCAAGCCUGAUACAGCCAUGCCGCGUGGGUGAUGAAGGCCCUAGGGUUGUAAAGCCCUUUCGGCGGGGAAGAUAAUGACGGUAGCCGCAGAAGAAGCCCCGGCUAACUUCGUGCCAGCAGCCGCAGUAACAC